AUUCCGGUUGAUCCUGCCGGAGGUCAUUGCUAUUGGAGUCCGAUUUAGCCAUGCUAGUCGCGCGGGUUUGGACCCGCGGCACAUAGCUCAGUAACACGUGGCCAAACUACCCUAUGGACAGGGACAACCUCGGGAAACUGAGGCUAAUCCCUGAUACCACUCUCCCGCUGGAGUGCCGAGAGUGGGAAACGCCCCGGCGCUAUAGGAUGUGGCUGCGGCCGAUUAGGUAGAUGGUGGGGUAACGGCCCACCAUGCCAAUAAUCGGUACAGGUUGUGAGAGCAAGAGCCUGGAGACGGUAUCUGAGACAAGAUACCGGGCCCUACGGGGCGCAGCAGGCGCGAAACCUUUACACUGCACGACAGUGCGAUAGGGGGACUCCGAGUGCGAGGGCAUA
rnacentral:rRNA from 1 species